UACGUAGGGAGCAAGCGUUGUCCGGAAUCAUUGGGCGUAAAGCGCGUGUAGGCGGUCCGGUAAGUCCGCUGUGAAAGUCGGGGGCUUAACCCUCGGAUGCCGGUGGAUACUGUCGGGCUUGAGUACGGAAGAGGCGAGUGGAAUUCCUGGUGUAGCGGUGAAAUGCGCAGAUAUCAGGAGGAACACCAAUUGCGAAGGCAGCUCGCUGGGACGUUACUGACGCUGAGACGCGAAAGCGUGGGGAGCGAACAGG
rnacentral:rRNA from 1 species